rnacentral:rRNA from 1 species
AGCCCGAUGAACCUGAAUAUCCAUUAUGAAAAAUUCAUCAUUAUAACUUUUAAUAUUAAAAUUUUUUUUGAUAUUAUUUGUGAUGGUGUGCAUUUUUUUCAUAUAAAAGGACAUUGUGAUCUAUUAACAUAAAUGAAAUUUAUCAUAAGAUUGUUGGCUCGAGUUUGUUUUGAUUGAUUUGCUUUAUAGCUUAUUAACAUAAAAUAAAUGCUAGCGAUUUGAUAAAGUGUUAAUAGGUUUAUGUUGUGUAAUGCUUAAAUUAUUGUUGAUUUUACAAUAUAUGAAACUUGAAUUAUAUAUUGUAUGCAUUUACAUGAUU